rnacentral:rRNA from 1 species
UACGUAGGGGGCUAGCGUUGUCCGGAAUCAUUGGGCGUAAAGCACGUGUAGGCGGUCCGGUAAGUCCGCUGUGAAAGUCGGGGGCUCAACCCUCGGAUGCCGGUGGAUACUGUCGGGCUUGAGUACGGAAGAGGCGAGUGGAAUUCCUGGUGUAGCGGUGAAAUGCGCAGACAUCAGGAGGAACACCAAUUGCGAAGGCAGCUCGCUGGGACGUUACUGACGCUGAGACGCGAAAGCGUGGGGAGCAAACAGG